UUUUUAUAUUUUUAUUAUUUUUAUAUAUUUAUAUUAAUUAUUAAAUUAAUAAAAUUAUUAGUUUGGGGUGAAUUAAAAAUAUAAUAAACUUUUUAUUAUUUAAAUAAUAAUUUUUAAUUUAUUGAUCCAAUUUUUUUGAUUAUAAAAUUAAGU
rnacentral:rRNA from 1 species